GCACGACAUGCACUGCCUCAUCCGUUACAUGCUGGAGCCAGACCCUGACAUAAGGCCAGAUAUCUACCAGGUGUCAUAUUUCGCCUUUAAACUGGCACGGAAAAAGAAUGCCCAGUACAGAAUAUCCACAAUUCACUCAUUCCAGCAAAACUCCCAGAUCCAAUCAGAGCCAGUGAAGCUGUGGCCAAGAAGAGCCAAAACAAAGCCAGG